GUAAUAUUACCUCUGUCCCAAAUUACUCGGCUUAGAUUUGUCUAGAUAUGGAUGUAUCUAACACUAAAAUGUGUCUAGAUACAUCCGUAUCUAGACAAAUUUAAGACAGGUAAUUCAGGACGGAGGGGGUAUAAG
rfam:Triticum aestivum genome assembly, contig: Triticum_aestivum_CS42_TGACv1_scaffold_211676_3AS